rnacentral:rRNA from 1 species
GGGUUGUGAGGUUAAGCGACUAAGCGUACACGGUGGAUGCCCUGGCAGUCAGAGGCGAUGAAGGGCGUGCUAAUCUGCGAUAAGCGCCGGUAAGGUGAUAUGAACCGUUAUAACCGGCGAUACCCGAAUGGGGAAACCCAGUGUGACUCGUCACACUAUCAUUAACUGAAUCCAUAGGUUAAUGAGGCGAACCGGGGGAACUGAAACAUCUAAGUACCCCGAGGAAAAGAAAUCAACCGAGAUUCCCCCAGUAGCGGCGAGCGAACGGGGAGGAGCCCAGAGCCUGAAUCAGCAUGUGUGUUAGUGGAAGCGUCUGGAAAGGCGCGCGAUACAGGGUGACAGCCCCGUACACAAAAGCGCAUGUGCUGUGAGCUCGAUGAGUAGGGCGGGACACGUGGUAUCCUGUCUGAAUAUGGGGGGACCAUCCUCCAAGGCUAAAUACUCCUGACUGACCGAUAGUGAACCAGUACCGUGAGGGAAAGGCGAAAAGAACCCCGGCGAGGGGAGUGAAAAAGAACCUGAAACCGUGUACGUACAAGCAGUGGGAGCCCCACCACUAAGCCAGUGGUGAACUCCACAUACGCAUCCUUUGCUGAGGAUACGGUUAACGGAGCGAAAGCGACGUUCAACCGCAAAACAAGCAGAGGGGGCUUAGUGGUGGGGUGACUGCGUACCUUUUGUAUAAUGGGUCAGCGACUUAUAUUCUGUAGCAAGGUUAACCGAAUAGGGGAGCCGGAGGGAAACCGAGUCUUAAUUGGGCGUUAAGUUGCAGGGUAUAGACCCGAAACC